rnacentral:misc_RNA from 1 species
UCGGGUGUCCAGGCGCCGGAUCUGAGCGAACGUCUCAGCCGGUUAGCUCAUGGGUGGAACAUUGACAUUGGUGCGGAGCCGAACGGCUCGAACUCAGUACGCCUCCUCGGAGGAAGGAACGGUUCGGAUCACUAGGCGCCGCACAUGCACGCUGUUGGGUCCUGAGGGACCGGGCCUCAUCGAAUGAUGAGAACUGGACCUCUGGACCUUUUCUUGUCGGCAUCACUUGCCGGACGGAGAAGGUACCGCCCGUACUUUGAGAACUACACAGUGGACGCGAGCAUCUUAGAUUCGAACCUUCGGGUUCGGAUCACAAAAGAUGAUCUGAUUUAUUAGAUCAUUGGUCAAUCUGCUCAUCUUCGGAUGAGCCGAUCGAUUCAAACUCAUGUGAUUUCAAAUUUCUAAGAGCAAACGGUGGAUGCCUUGGCAUCUGGAGCCGAAGAAGGACGUAGUAAUCUGCGAUAAGCCUCGGGGAGCUGAUAAACGAGCUUUGAUCCGAGGAUCUCCGAAUGGGGAAACCCCGCUGGGCCCUUUG